GACGAACGCUGGCGGCGUGCUUAACACAUGCAAGUCGAGCGGAGCGGCGUACGGGUGAGUAACGCGUGAGUAACUGCCCCCCUCUCUGGGAUAACAGUUGGAAAUGGCUGCUAAUACCGGAUAGUGGGGGAUGACUCGCGUCCUAUCAGCUUGUUGGUGGGGUAGUGGCCUACCAAGGCGACGACGGGUAGCCGGCCUGAGAGGGCGACCGGCCGCAUUGGGCUGAGAUACAGCCCAAACGCCUACGGGAGGCAGCAGUAGGGAAUAUUGCACAAUGGGGGAAACCGUGAUGCAGCAACGCGCGUGCGGGAUGACGGCCUUCGGGUUGUAGACCGCUUUCAGCCAUGACGCGGUGGUGGCAGAAGAGGCACCGACUAACUACGUGCCAGCAACCGCGGUGAUUC
rnacentral:rRNA from 1 species